ensembl:lncRNA
GGGCAGCGUUCUGGGAGGUCACCUACGACGUGUGUGCCCUCUCUUUACACCUGAAUCCCCUGUUGAACCUCAUGAUCCAGACAACAGAGGGAGAACUCAGAAGUUGUCCAGAAAGGAGCCAUUUUUCCAAGAGACACAUGAUUUUGUGCGGGUUGAGUUCCUAGUUUUAGUGCCAGAAAAACAAAAAUUUUUAAAGGUGAAGACUCACCUUGCUGACGUGAGAUUUUCCUUGUACUAAAAGUCCUGAUCUUCAUUCUUUUAUGGUUUGGCAGGGCUGAUCUUACCGUUAGAGGAAAGAGUGUCUCAUGGUUGCAGGAGCUGAGCCAAAAACUCCACUGACCAAACCCAACACUGCUCUUCCCCAGGCACGAUGCCUGCAUUCCACGUUUGCAGAGAGUUCUCACUGUGGGUUCCACUGAUGAGUCUAGGAGCGCCCUGUUGAAAUUCAAAGUUAUCAAGUGGGGUGGGCGUGGGGAAGGAAGAGGGCAUCAAACAAUUCUCAGACAUCACUACUUGAGACAUUAGGUUAACAGAUAAUAUCCUAGAAUUUAUCUGCCAGGGUUCUAAGGUGUUAACCUCAGAACCCGUAGCUUUACUGGGAUAGGGAGCACAGAGAGGAGUUACAGAAGGCUUGUGUCAGAGGAUGCAUCUUGAUCAGAUGACAUAUUCCAUCAGGGACACCAGAACCUUUGAGGACAUCAGAGUCAGAGCUGUGUCCAUGAUGACUCAGUGGACUCAGCAGCAUGGCAUGCAUGGUGGGACUCCUCAUGGUCACCCUGUGAAACUAGAAGAGACAUGGUCUAGAGCACUGGAAGUUCAGCUCCAGGAGGGCGGGGCUUUUUCCAGUUUGUUCGCCGCUCUGCCUGCAACACCAGGAACAAGGCUUAGCGCAUAUUAUUCAGGAUUUUGGUUGACUUUAUCAGGGAUCUUAUUUAAAGUAUUCAAAAUAGACAAAAUAAAGUCGUCUGUAGCAAGUACAAUCCAUCACGAUGCGAGUAUUCAGGCAUCUUGAAGAAUGCAGUCCCAGAGACGGAGUCCAGCUAUUACUGACUCACAGAGCACCUGCUGCUCAUUCCACAGCUGUCCCGUGCCCUUGGUGUUACUGACCUCCUUGUUUGCCAUUCUUCUCCAAGACUUGAAAAGAAUGAGACUAUUUUCAUACUUGUUUCCUUAGACGAGGAAAAGGGGAUCAGCUACGCAUAUGUGAUGGGAGGUGACUGGAAAAAGAUGGCGAAAACAACUCUCUAAUCAGAUGAUCUUUGAAUGACUCAAAACAGACCAUGAUUUAAUGAAAUGGAAUGGUGACAACCAAGGUGAAACAGAGCUUAGGAAUGUUGUGUCCUCCUCUUGUCUUCUUGAAAUGCUUUUCCUUUGGGCCACCCAACUUUUCCACAUGUUAAGCAUUACAGUCACAUACAUUUGUGAGAUUGCAUUACACCACCCUCAGUUCCUGUGUAAAUGCUAAUUCUACAGCAUUAUGGAUAGACUUUCUAAUAGAGAACUUCUGAACACUUACUGUUUGUUCCACAUCUCAUCAGCCCCGAAUCUAGAUGGCCUCCUUUGCUUCUCAACAAUUUAUUGUGCUACCAUAAUCUCUUGUAUCAACCAAAAGUUAUUGAGCAUAGUGUUUAAGAAUGCACACUUGGGCCCCAGACCUAUGUUGAAAUCCAUACUCUAUCAUUUAAGAGCCGUGUGGCCUUGGGCAAAAAGCAAACCACACUUUCUUCAUGUGUUAAGUGGGAAUAAUUAUGGUGUAAUUCAUCAGAUUUGGAGGAAGUUAAAGUAAUAUAUAAAAUGCUAAGCUCAUGACUUAAUACAAAACAGGUGUCUGAUAAAUGCAGACAGUUUCUUUUCUGAAUCCCUCUUCUUUCUAUGAUAGUUGCUAUAACAGUGCAUAAAAUGUUUGCCAAUGCUUUGACCUUGACUAUUCUUUACCAGUCAUGGGGAUAGAGGAAUCUUCAUGUUUCCCAGGGAAUUUAGAGCAGUGUUUUGAGAAGU